CUUGCUUCUUUUUUAAUACCUCAAACACAGCCAUCACUACCUAAUACACAGCCAUCACUACCUUAUACAUGACUAUCACCACCUGAGACACAUCCUUUACCACCCCAAUCACCAUUGGUCACACAAUUACCACGAACUCAGCCGCAAGUUGCUAGCAAUCGAUCACCGAGAUUCGAGGUUGAUUCUUCUAGACUGAGUACAGAUAUAGCUGGCUUGUCUAAUCAAACAUAUGAUGUCGGGUCUAGAUUAAGUGAUGGUCGCCUGGUGAUUCGACUGAGGGUAAUGAGGAGUAAGUAUCUUUUAUUGGAAUUUUUAUGUUAUCACUUGUUACUUGUUAUAUACUAAUUCUUGUUCUUUUUGUAGGUCACUUCCUUCAGUUGAAUCAGUGUCAAUCUUAUCUAGAAUAAUCCAUUCAAAGUAUGAGAGUGGAUGGCCUGCAUUUAGUAAAGUCCCAUAAAAUGUUAAAAAUUUAUGGUUUAAUGAAUUCAAACUAAGAUGUGCUUGGGACCCAACUUUAGAUGGUGAUGUUCAUAAAAUAUGGAAGAAGAAAUAUAGUGGGGUAAUUCGCUCCUCUUUGAGGGACAUUCGAAUUGGGAAAACAAAAGGUGAAUGGUUAAUGCCUGGACCUCGAAAGGAGCUUGAAAAAUAUUGGGAAAGUAAUGAAUUUAAAGCCAAAUCUGAGAAAAAUAAAAAAAAAUUGAGCAGCUAACACAGGAGGAUGUGUGCAUAAAGGGGGACGAAUAACAUUUAUAGAGCAUAGAAGAAGAAUGGAAGUUGAAUUGGGAAGGCCUUGUGAAUAUCCUGAGGUUUUCAAGAAAAUUCAACAUGAUGAGGAAAAAGGUUAGGUUGGAAAGAGAGCUGCUGACACUUAUAAUGAGUUUGAGCAAUUAAAAGAAUGUCAAGAAUCCGAUGCUAGUAUUUUCGAUUCUGCUUUAUGGCUUCAGGUGGUUGGGGGGAAAAAUAAGAGGGGUCGAGUUUAUGGGCUUGGAACACAGGCAGGGCUUCUUAAUUCUAAUGGAACUCAAUGUGCCAAUACAUUUGGUGAGAUUGCACUCUUAAAGAAACAACUAGAAGAACAGAAAAAAUUUUAUGAGGAUAGAUUUGAAAAGGUUGUUGAAUCUUUGCAAGUAAGGGAGGAAGAAUUUUGAGCUAGGGAAGAAAGAAGGGAGGAAGAAUUUCGUGCUAGGGAAGAAAGAAUGGAUCAAAAAUGGGCAAUGAUUAUGGCACAGAUAAGCAAAUUUGAAAAAGGUGGUUUUUCUAAAACCAAUAAUGAGGAGGGUUGUGGUGAUUUGGAGAAUGACUCACAAGAAGAUGGUUCUGAUGAUGAA